rnacentral:rRNA from 1 species
AUUGAACGCUGGCGGCAGGCCUAACACAUGCAAGUCGAACGAGUGGCGGACGGGUGAGUAAUGUCUGGGAACCUGCCUGAUGGAGGGGGAUAACUACUGGAAACGGUAGCUAAUACCGCAUACCAUCGGAUGUUCCCUGAUGGGAUUAGCUAGUAGGUGUGGUAAAGGCUCACCUAGGCGACGAUCCCUAGCUGUUCUGAGAGGAUGACCAGCCACACGGGAACUGAGACACGGUCCAGACGCCGACGGGAGGCAGCAGUGGGGAAUAUUGCACAAUGGGCGAAAGCCUGAUGCAGCAAGGCCGCGUGUAUGAAGAAGGCCUUCGGGUUGUAAAGUACGGUCAGCGGGGAGGCGGUACCCGCAGAAGAAGCACCGGCUAACUCCGUGCCAGCAGCCGCGGUAAGUC